rnacentral:rRNA from 1 species
GACGAACGCUGGCGGCGUGCUUAACACAUGCAAGUCGAACGGAAAGGCCCUGCUUUUGUGGGGUGCUCGAGUGGCGAACGGGUGAGUAACACGUGAGUAACCUGCCCUUGACUUUGGGAUAACUUCAGGAAACUGGGGCUAAUACCGGAUAGGAGCUCCUGCUGCAUGGUGGGGGUUGGAAAGUUUCGGCGGUUGGGGAUGGACUCGCGGCUUAUCAGCUUGUUGGUGGGGUAGUGGCUUACCAAGGCUUUGACGGGUAGCCGGCCUGAGAGGGUGACCGGCCACAUUGAGACUGAGAUACGACCCAGACUCCUACGGGAGGCAGCAGUGGGGAAUAUUGCACAAUGGGCGGAAGCCUGAUGCAGCAACGCCGCGUGCGGGAUGACGGCCUUCGGGUUGUAAACCGCUUUCGCCUGUGACGAAGCGUGAGUGACGGUAAUGGGUAAAGAAGCACCGGCUAACUACGUG